rnacentral:rRNA from 1 species
UACUGAGGAUGCGAGCGUUAUCCGGAUUUAUUGGGUUUAAAGGGUGCGUAGGCGGGAUGCCAAGUCAGCGGUAAAAAUGCGGUGCUCAACGCCGUCGAGCCGUUGAAACUGGCGUUCUUGAGUGGGCGAGAAGUAUGCGGAAUGCGUGGUGUAGCGGUGAAAUGCAUAGAUAUCACGCAGAACUCCGAUUGCGAAGGCAGCAUACCGGCGCCCUACUGACGCUGAGGCACGAAAGCGUGGGUAUCGAACAGG